rnacentral:lncRNA from 1 species
GUGAAUAAGUCCUAAGAGAUCUGAUGGUUUUGUCAGGGGUGUCCGCUUUUGUUUCUUCCUCAUUUUCUCUUGCCGCCACCAUGUAAGAAGCGCCUUUCUCCUCCUGCCAUGAUUCUGAGGUCUCCCCAGCCAAUUGGAACUAGCAUGCUGUUCCCAACAGACUGAAUAAUGUCUUCAUGUCUUUGAUCAGGGUGCAAAUACUUACUGUAUAGAAUACAGAAUGGAUUUUUCAUGGUGCUGACAAAGUUUGUAUGGAAGCAGUAGAAAUCACCCAAGUAAUUUGGACUCUAAUGAUGUCUACAUAGCCAAUCUACAGUCUGGCUAGGAAGGGAUACGAUGGCAUGGUAUUUUAAAAAGAAAAAAAUAAAGUUAUCUAAAAGAUACACUACCAUUAGCUGAGAUGAGAUAAUUGAAUUCUCUUUAAUUUGUAAGCAGACUGGCUUACUCUACACCCACAUACUCUCAUUUAGCAAAAAGAUAAAAUAUCUACACAGGACCUUGCAGCUUACAAAAUACAUCCAUAUACAUGUAGGUCCCACAAAAUGCUGUGGUGUAAGUACCCUUAUGACCCUAAUUGACAAAUAAGAAAACCAAGGUUCCAAGAGUUAAAGGCUAGUAUGUAGAUAUGCACCCAGAGUCCCUGAUUCUGAUUCUGAGACUGCAUAAUUUAUAUCAUGGUUGUGUCAUUAAAAAGAAGUGGAAGAAUCUGGAACAAAUAAAACACACAGCGACUAAGUUUCAAUUAAAUAUAGGACAUAGCAAUACUGUGGUUGGAAAGGGUAGGCAAGAGAUAUCAUGAGGUCACUGGGUGCUUGAGGGGAAAGCAAGGGUUAAAGAACAGUCUCUAACAAAAGGAAGAAAUUGCACCAAAGAUAUACUUUCCUUAUUUCUCAAGUUCAGCUGUAAUCAACCAAGCCUAAUCUAGGAUAACAGUGAGCAGCAAAAAAAAAAAAAAUCACAAAAGAAAAUUCUUGAAAAGAGGUGCUUCUACUUGCAUAUAAUUGCUUACACUGAAGUAAUAUCUGGACCAGACUGCUGGCCAGUGAUCGGGCAUGUGCCUGGGCAAACACAUAACCAAGGCUCCGCUAAUUAAAAGUCUGAUUCCCCACACUUCUACAAUUACCAUUGAACGAUGCUGUGAACAUCUGAAUUGUGCUAAUCCUGGACAUGAAUAUUUUAUUCAUUUGGACCAUACCCCAAAAUUAACAUACUUAAGAAACUAUAAUAUGCUGUAUUAUGUUAAUGAGAGAAACAUGUCCAAGGAAGAAAUGGUGCUAUGGUUACACAGGACAUACUAUUUACCAAGAUAAUGAGGAAAUUUUCUCUUCUGUUUUUAUCCUGUUCUGAGUAUGUCUAUCCA